rnacentral:rRNA from 1 species
AAUAUUGCGCAAUUGAGGAAACUCUUACGCAGCGACGCCGCGUGAGCGAUGGAGGUCUUCGUACCGUAAAGCUCUGUCCUUUGGGACGAAGGUCUUCGGACUUGACGGUACCCAUGGAGGACGCCCCGGCUAACUACGUGCCAGCAUCCGCGGUAAUACGUAGGUGGCAAGCGUUGUCCGGCAUUAUUUGGCGUAAAGGGGGCGUAGGCGGCCUUUUAAGUCAGAUGUGAAAGCCCACGGCUCAACCGUGGGAUUGCAUUUGAAACUGGAGGGCUUGAGUAUCGGAGAGGGUAGUGGAAUACCCAGUGUAGCGGUGAAAUGCGUAGAUAUUGGGAGGAACACCAGUGGCGAAGGCGACUACCUGGACGAUUACUGACGCUGAUGCACGAAAGCUAGGGGAGCAAAC